rnacentral:rRNA from 1 species
AUUGAACGCUGGCGGCAGGCCUAACACAUGCAAGUCGAGCGACCGGCGGACGGGUGAGUAAUGUCUGGGAAACUACCAGAUGGGGGGGGCUAACUGCAGGAGAAGGUAACUCAUCCCGCAUCUCAUCAGAUGUGUUCAGAGGGGGGUAGCUAGUCGGUGGGGUAACGGCUCACCCAGGCGACGAUCCCGAGCUGGUCUGAGAGGAUGACCAGCCACACUGGAACUGAGACACGGCCCAGAGUGCUACGGGAGGCAGCAGUGGGGAAUAUUGCACAAUGGGCGAAGGACUGAUGCAGCCAUGCCGCGUGUGUGAAGAAGGCCUUCGGGGUGUAAAGCACUGUCAGCGGGAAGGCGGUACCCGCAGAAGAAGCACCGGCUAAAUCCGUGCCAGCAGCCGCGGUAAUAC